rnacentral:rRNA from 1 species
CCUACGGGGGUAGCAGUAGGGAAGAGUGCUCAAGGGGGGAAACCCGGAAGCAGCAACGCCGAGUGGAGGAGGAAGGUUUUCGGAUUGUAAACUCCUUUUGUUAGAGAAGAUAAUGACGGUAUCUAACGAAUAAGCACCGGCUAACUACGUGCCAGCAGCCGCGGUAAUACGGAGGGUGCAAGCGUUACUCGGAAUCACUGGGCGUAAAGAGCGCGUAGGCGGGAUAGCAAGUCAGAUGUGAAAUCCUAUGGCUUAACCAUAGAACUGCAUUUGAAACUGUUAUUCUAGAGUAUGGGAGAGGUAGGUGGAAUUCUUGGUGUAGGGGUAAAAUCCGUAGAGAUCAAGAGGAAUACUCAUUGCGAAGGCGACCUGCUAGAACAUAACUGACGCUGAUGCGCGAAAGCGUGGGGAGCAAACAGGAUUAGAUACCCGUGUAGUC